rnacentral:rRNA from 1 species
AGAGUUUGAUCCUGGCUCAGGACGAACGCUGGCGGCAUGCCUAACACAUGCAAGUCGAACGAGAAAGUUCCUUCGGGAGCGAUUAAAGUGGCGCACGGGUGAGUAACGCGUAGACAAUCUGCCCUUCAGUCUGGGACAACUUUUCGAAAGGAGAGCUAAUACCGGAUGACAAUGUAACACAUAAGUGUCACAUUUGAAAGCUCCGGCGCUGAAGGAGGGGUCUGCGUCCCAUUAGCUAGUUGGUAAGGUAAAGGCUUACCAAGGCGACGAUGGGUAGCGGGUUUGAGAGGACGAUCCGCCACACUGGAACUGAGACACGGUCCAGACUCCUACGGGAGGCAGCAGUGGGGAAUAUUGCACAAUGGAGGCAACUCUGAUGCAGCAAUGUCGCGUGAGUGAAGAAGGCCCUUGGGUCGUAAAGCUCUUUUAUGGGGGAAGAUGAUGACGGUACCCCAAGAAUAAGCACCGGCUAACUACGUGCCAGCAGCCGCGGUAAUACGUAGGGUGCGAGCGUUGUUCGGAAUUACUGGGCGUAAAGGGCGUGCAGGCGGAUUGGUAAGCCGGAGGUGAAAGCCCGGGGCUCAACCCCGGAGGGUCUUUCGAAACUGCUAAUCUAGAGAGGGUCAGGGGCCAGCAGAAUUCUUGGUGUAGAGGUGAAAUUCGUAGAUAUCAAGAGGAAUACCGGUGGCGAAAGCGGCUGGCUGGGGCCACUCUGACGCUGAGGCGCGAAAGCGUGGGGAGCAAACAGGAUUAGAUACCCUGGUAGUCCACGCCGUAAACGAUGAGCACUGGAUGUCCGGAGGGUUCGACCCUUCUGGGUGUCUCAGCUAACGCAUUAAGUGCUCCGCCUGGGGAGUACGGUCGCAAGACUAAAACUCAAAGGAAUUGACGGGGGCCCGCACAAGCGGUGGAACAUGUGGUUUAAUUCGAUGCAACGCGAAGAACCUUACCUGGGCUUAAAGUGUAGUGGAUCGCAU